rnacentral:rRNA from 1 species
UGGGGAAUAUUGGACAAUGGGCGCAAGCCUGAUCCAGCCAUGCCGCGUGAGUGACGAAGGCCUUAGGGUUGUAAAGCUCUUUUGGCGGGGAAGAUAAUGACGGUACCCGCAGAAUAAGCUCCGGCUAACUUCGUGCCAGCAGCCGCGGUAAUACGAAGGGAGCUAGCGUUGUUCGGAAUCACUGGGCGUAAAGCGCACGUAGGCGGACUUUCAAGUCAGGGGUGAAAUCCCGAGGCUCAACCUCGGAACUGCCUUUGAUACUGUUGGUCUCGAGUCCGGAAGAGGUGAGUGGAAUUCCUAGUGUAGAGGUGAAAUUCGUAGAUAUUAGGAAGAACACCGGUGGCGAAGGCGGCUCACUGGUCCGGUACUGACGCUGAGGUGCGAAAGCGUGGGGAGCAAACA